UUCCCGUAGGGGGGACUGCGGAGGGAUCAUUACUGAGUUUACGCUCUACAACCCUUUGUGAACAUACCUACAACUGUUGCUUCGGCGGGUAGGGUCUCCGCGACCCUCCCGGCCUCCCGCCUCCGGGCGGGUCGGCGCCCGCCGGAGGAUAACCAAACUCUGAUUUAACGACGUUUCUUCUGAGUGGUACAAGCAAAUAAUCAAAACUUUUAACAACGGAUCUCUUGGUUCUGGCAUCGAUGAAGAACGCAGCGAAAUGCGAUAAGUAAUGUGAAUUGCAGAAUUCAGUGAAUCAUCGAAUCUUUGAACGCACAUUGCGCCCGCCAGCAUUCUGGCGGGCAUGCCUGUUCGAGCGUCAUUUCAACCCUCAAGCUCUGCUUGGUGUUGGGGCCCUACAGCCGAUGUAGGCCCUCAAAGGUAGUGGCGGACCCUCCCGGAGCCUCCUUUGCGUAGUAACUUUACGUCUCGCACUGGGAUCCGGAGGGACUCUUGCCGUAAAACCCCCCAAUUUUCCAAAGGUUGACCUCGGAUCAGGUAGGAAUACCCGCUGAACUUAAGCAUAUCAU
rnacentral:rRNA from 1 species